UACGUAGGGUGCGAGCGUUGUCCGGAAUUAUUGGGCGUAAAGAGCUUGUAGGCGGUUUGUCGCGUCUGCCGUGAAAAUUCGAGGCUCAACCUCGAACUUGCGGUGGGUACGGGCAGACUAGAGUGUGGUAGGGGAGACUGGAAUUCCUGGUGUAGCGGUGGAAUGCGCAGAUAUCAGGAGGAACACCCGUGGCGAAGGCGGCUGACUGGAUCGCAACUGACGCUGAGGAACGAAAGCUAGGGGAGCAAACAGG
rnacentral:rRNA from 1 species